UGGGAGGUCGUCCAAUCGGUAGGACUCCAGACUCUGAAUCUGGCUAUCCUGGUUCGAGUCCAGGCCUCCCAGCCA
rnacentral:tRNA from 1 species